rnacentral:miRNA from 1 species
GUAGUUGAGACUGACCUGGAACUCACUAUGUAGCCCAGGCUGGGCUCGAACUCACAACGAUCCUCCUGCCUCAGCCUCCCGAGUGCUGGGAUUACAGGCGUGCCCCACCACGCCCG